rfam:[Clostridium] clariflavum DSM 19732 chromosome, complete genome.
GUUACCUUUAAUUAAGUCCUGUGAGGCUGAAAGGUGGCGCAUGAGAGUAUAAGAGUAUACAUAUUUAAGUAUAUGUAUUUAAAAUAUGCUAUGUAUUCUAGCUUCUUGCCGUCAUCUGGCAAGAAGCUUUUUUGGU